GCUGGGCAUGGUGGUGCAUGCCUGUAAUCCCAGCUAUUAGGGAGGCUGAGGCAGGAGAAUCACUUGAACCAGGGAGUCGGAGGUUGCAGUGAACCAAGAUGGUGCCACUGCACUCCAGCCUGGCAACAGAGUGAGACUCUGUCUCAA
rnacentral:SRP_RNA from 2 species